rnacentral:rRNA from 1 species
UACAGAGGCCUCGAGCGUUAGGCGGAAUCACUGGGCUUAAAGCGUGUGUAGGCGGACUUCUAAGUACCUUGUGAAAUCCCACGGCUCACCCGUGGAACUGCUGGGUAUACUGGUCGUCUUGAGCCUUCUAGGGGCUACCGGAACAAAUGGUGGAGCGGUGAAAUGCGUAGAGAUCGGAAAGAACACCAACGGCGAAAGCACUCUGCUGGGCCGACACUGACACUGAGAGACGAAAGCUAGGGGAGCGAAUGGG